rnacentral:rRNA from 1 species
UUGGAGGGCAAGUCUGGUGCCAGCAGCCGCGGUAAUUCCAGCUCCAAUAGCGUAUAUUAAAGUUGUUGCAGUUAAAAAGCUCGUAGUUGAACUUUGGGUCUGGCUGGCCGGUCCGCCUCACCGCGAGUACUGGUCCGGCUGGACCUUUCCUUCUGGGGAACCUCAUGGCCUUCACUGGCUGUGGGGGGAACCAGGACUUUUACUGUGAAAAAAUUAGAGUGUUCAAAGCAGGCCUUUGCUCGAAUACAUUAGCAUGGAAUAAUAAAAUAGGACGUGUCGG